AGGGUAAAUUUUGUAUUUAUGUAUAUUUUGCCACAGUUUUUUUUUUUAAUUUAAAAUUUAAGAAAAACUUAAAAGGAACUCAGUAAAUAUUGGCUGCACAUAAAUCCAGCUGAACUGAAGAAACGUGUUAGAGGGCAGCCCGAGGGUCCUACUGGUGACUGGAUUUGCGGACACAGAGGAGCUGUUCCCAAGGGGCAGGGGGUGGCUCCCAGGGACCUUUGCUGUCAGUGUCUAGAGGAGAGAUUCUGGGAGAAAGCAUCAUUAGGCUGAAAGCAGCCCCGUCCUGGAGAGGGAGCCACCCAGAGAAUGAAUAGCUGACCUCCUGUUCCCGAGCUUCUCUGCUAAUUAAAACUUGCUGUUAGUGGUGUAGGGGCCUGGCCCUUGCUGGCUCGGUUGGGUUGUUGCAGCCUAACUGCCCUCCCCUGGGGCUGACUCAGGAGCGUGUGAGGAGUUACCCGUAGGCCCCUUAGUGAGUCUUUCUGCCCCUGGAGCUGGGAACCGCACAGUCAGGAACCCACGAGGUGAUGAGGCGUCUUACUCUGCAGAUGCCUGGAUAGUGUUUUUUCACUGGGUGGGGGAGGGACGGCGGGGGCCAUCAGUGCCCUGGUGAGCAUGGCCAGUGCCCGGCCCUCAGGCAAUGUCACUUCCAGUGGAAGUGGCCUCCUUCCUGCUGAUUGCCUCUGGGCAUCCCUCCACCCUCCAGGCGGCUGCAUUCUUCCCAGCUUUCUCUGUAGACGCUGUGUUGGGCCACACGGUCUCAGGUCUCACCGGGGCUCCUGCCCUCAAGAGGCUGGUUGUCCAGAGGCAUCCUUGCCGAGAGUCCCAGAAAGGAGAGGAGUCGGGGUGGCUGCUUGGGCAGUAGGGACACGGGGCUUGGGUGCGCUUACAGGUCCCCCAUGGCAGGUGGGCAGGAAGUGAGCGCCCAGGGUGGGGGAGGUGACUGGAGGGGGAGAAGGGAGGGAGAGGAAGGUUAGAGGGGAGGCAACGGGGAGGCAAGUCUGGCUCCUUUUCUGACAAUGGUGGCACCUCUGAGGACCAGCCGUCCAUCUGCAGAAGGCACUGAUAGGUCUCUUGCUCCAGCUCCUGCCUAUGUCCCACGGUGGAUCAACAGCUCUGGGACCUGUCCUGGCCGGGCAGGGUCCCCAUGGGUCACUGCAGCCUCACUGCCCCUCCCCUCGCUGCAGGGGCCUGUGUGAGGAGCAGCUGCCAGGGACCAUGCAGGAGAGGGUCCCUCCCACCCAGCUGUCCAGAGGGCAGGCCCUCGGCACCCCCAGCUUCCCACACUCUCUUGCCUUUGGGGACAGGGCCAGGUGGUGCUGGUGGGCUGGACCCCAGGGUCCCCACACAGGGCCCAGGGGUGAGCCUCGAGCUGGCGUGGCUGCACCAGCCUCCCGGGCACCCGUCACACUUUGCUUUGAUCUCGGCUGCGGAUGUGAUGAUCUGCCGCAGCUGCAGCUACUGAUGUUGGAGGGGGUGCGGGGGCGGGGCCUUGCCCAGGAAGGAAGGCGGCUGAUGCGCUAGCAGUCAGGGCCAGGCCCUGGAGACACAGCCAGGCACCCCUUACAGUGGAGGGUCCAGCAAACACUUCAUUUCCUAGGGCCUGAGUCAUUCCAACAUUUCAGAGAAAAUGCAGGCUGCUGCCCAGAGCUGAGGAAGCCCACAGCUGUUCCCUCCUGGUGCCAGACACGCCCCUAGAGCACAGCCCCUGGGGUUUGCUGCAGGAGCUCUCAGCUCUGCGUCAGGCACUUCCUCUCCCUCUCAGACCACCAGUGCCCUCCACCGUGCCCUCUGGGGCUUUUCCAGCUACCUGGCCCAGGGCUCGGCCCCUGGACACGUGCUCUGCCUAAGGAAGAGCCACACCAUGCCUGACCUCUGGGUCCCCGGCUCCAAAGCUGAGCAGAAAACGGAUGUCCAGGGUCAGCCCGUGGCUGCGCUCCAGGCCUGGCCUCCGGGUCCUGUGGGGUCCAGGCCCCUCCUCCCCGCUCCCAGCCUCAACCUUGUUCCCGGCAGCCACAGCAGCCUGCCCUCUGCCCUCCCUGACUGUCUGUUUCCCUUGCUUUCAUUCAUUUCCCAUGCAUUUGUUGAAUAUAUAUUUUUAGCAAAAAAGAAAAAAAGAGCAACCCAAAUACCAGCAUGACCUGUUCCACCAGGCGCGGCGUCUGCUUUCUUGGUCUGGGGAAAUAUACACAAAGCAUUACAUAGCAGUCAUUGCAAUUAGCGGCAUGUGCACGUGAGCCAGCAGCCUUGGGCCCUCCAGGUACCGCUCUGGAUUGGAGCUGCUGUAAGAGGCACAGAGGAGGGAGGAGGGGGCUGGCUCUCUGGGCCUUCCCCCUCUAAGGCUGCCUUCUCUGGGACCCACUGUCAGCACACAGCUUCCCUUGAGGACAGUGCUUUAUUAAAUCAGCCCAUCUUAGGUCCUCAGCCUCCAUCAGGCAUUCAGGCCACAGCAGGGGCAGGAGCAGAAGAUGUGCUUGGAAACCUCAGCCUAUCUGCACCCCACACCCAUCCCCCUCAACAUACUAAUGGCUCAAGGAUAGUUACAGGUCCUGAGGGACAGCCAGACCUGCCAGGUCCCCCAGAAGCCCUUGGACCAGAGAAGGAGCAUCAAGGCCAUGUCCCCACUGUGUCCAGGCAGCCGCCCUGACUCCUCAGCCACAUAUUGGGGCGGUAUGUGGCUGAGGCUGUAGCAGUAACCAUGCAUUUGCAGUGGCCAAGUCACUGGAAAUUCCAGGUGUGCACAGCCCUGCCUCCCAUUCAGGCUCCACUCAGGCCCCAGUGUUGUCACAGCUGCUCCUGCUGGCUCUUCCUGCCUCUCACCUUUCCGGGCACCUCUUUCUGGCUCCCAGGGGCGUGGCAAAGGGGGAGCAGGUGUCUUACUAACAUUGGCUCCCAAUGUCCCCUGGGUCUGAUGGGAGUAAGGGGGAGGUUUCUGCCUUCUGCCUCCAGUUUACGCAGUGAGCUCCACUUCCAGCAGCCCACGUUGACCUGGGUCAGCAUCUCUGCCAGCUUCCUCAUCUGUAAGGGGGCGGGGGGGGGGAGUCUGUCCCCACCUCAUUGGUUGGAUGGGAUGAUUAAGUGCAAUCCCACUUGGCUUGGUGUUGACAUUAAUUAAUUGCUUAAUUCAUUAAUUCUGGUGAGCACCGUGGGUGUCAGGUAUGGACGGCUCUAGGUUCUGGGGAUAAAGCAGUGACAUAGAACUUCCAUGGAGUGGUAUGUGUAUGAGGGUUUGUGGAGGGAACAGACAGGAAACAAGUAAAAAAUGAGGGGAUUUCAGACAGUAACAUGUGCUAAGAAGACAGUAAAUUGUAUGGGGUGGGGGCCAAGGGCUCAAGCAGAAAUUCAAAUGAGGAAAAAGGAGCUGCGUGUCAUGUAAGGAAGGGCUUUCUAGGCAGAGGGAUCCUUUAAAGCUGAACCAACUGUAUCAGAACAGGAAUUGAAUCCUACCUCAGAGGAACAUUGCAGAUCCAGCUUGGGGUGAACCCUGAGGCCACCUGGGCCUGACCAUGCACCAACAACUCUUUAGGAGAUGUUCUGAGAACACACAGGGCCAAGCUCCAGGAGGCUUGUGGUUUGGUGAACAUUCUCUCCAUAGGGCUGAGCAGAUCCAUCAGUUACCCUCUAGUAUCCAUUCUUGCUCUUCUUCCAUCCUUCUUUGUCCCUUCCUCCAUCCUCUGCCAGGAAUGUGGAUGUGAUGGCUGGAGCUCCAGCUAUCAUGUUGGACCAUGAGUAAGAGGCACACAUUCUGGAGAUGACAGACUAGUGAGCUGGAAACCUCUGGUGUCUGUGACCUUUGUAGAGUGGACUAUUUACCUCCAUACUUUGUCAUGAGAAAGAAAAAAUAAACUGCUAUUUUGUUUAAUUCACAAACAAGGAAGCUCAGACCCCCUUCUUGAGACUCAGAUCCUGGGUGUUGGAAGCCUGUUCCUCUUGUAUUUCUCAGUAGCUUUAUAAAUCUUUUCUGGUAGAACCACUGUCCUUAUACAUCCUUUGCAAAUCUUAAACAGUGAAACACAGCGCCGGGAAGGUCUGAUGAACGGCACUCCUCCGCUGAUUGUGUGAUUGAUUGAGCGAUUAUUGAUUAGGUUACCUGUCCUGUUUCUACACAGAGAAGAUGAAGUCCACUGAUGGAGUCAGGGCUUCGGGUUUCCGUCUGAUCAGUAACUAGUUCCAUGGCCUUGCAGCUGCCUGUGGGCCACUGUAAAGGACAGUUUGGGACCAGGCACGUCCAUGCUCCCUCUAUCUCUAAUAAGCCAAGAGGCUUACCUUAGUUUUCAGAGGCUUUUGGUGGGGGAAAGGUGAGCAGGAGUUUGGAGUGUGCAAACCCCACGGGGAGCUCAUCUUGCGACUCUGCUAGUGCAGGACUGGGACAGAGGUGGGUUGGGGGGCGAUGGAAGAGAGAUGGUGACCUGGGAGGGCUGAUUGUCUGGAGCACGGUGACAGUUCAGUUGCCUCUGUACAAACUCGUAAGGGACGACGGACGCCAAAGGAAAAAUCUGCGUGACCAGACCUUGGGACCUACAGGCACUGGGAGCUGAGGCUGUACCUGACAACUGGCACCCCACCCUCUCUUCCUCCUUCACCUGAGAUCUGUCAUCCUGAACGUCUCAUUCAGAAAUGAGCCCCUGUAAUUCCUCCUUUGGAGGGUGGAUUCCAAAUGCUCUGGAUAAGGGCCCAUUCUUAGAGCUCAGCCAGAGGAGCGGUCUUGUUCGACCCAUCAGAGAGGCAGGGCCGCUCGCUCCCUCUCCCGCAGCGUGGUGGGUGGAGAGGACGUUGGCCGUGAUAUCCGUGUCCCCCACAGACCCUAAACUUUGAAGGUCUGUCCCAGCAGCUGGUUCUCUCCAGAUGGUUCACUGUCUAAGCAGCGUGUCCCUGCUUGGACAGUGGUUGCCCCAUGGGCCUUGGUGUAGGUGUCACGGAUGUUCUCAGGGAUAUUCUCACAGCAGUGAAAUCACCAUGAUUCCAAUGUUUUUAUCUGUUCUAAACAUUUGUCCAAACUUGUCACUUGUCCAGAAUGGGUGUUUGUCCAAACUUGUCACUUAGUUCUGUGCCCAGAAUGGGUGUUAAAAUGACCUGAUGGGGGUGUUCCCCUUGUGGCUCAGC
rnacentral:lncRNA from 1 species